AGUGAACGCUGGCGGUAGGCCUAACACAUGCAAGUCGAACGGCAGCACAGUAAGAGCUUGCUCUUACGGGUGGCGAGUGGCGGACGGGUGAGGAAUACAUCGGAAUCUACUUUUUCGUGGGGGAUAACGUGGGGAAACUUACGCUAAUACCGCAUACGACCUACGGGUGAAAGCAGGGGAUCUUCGGACCUUGCGCGAUUGAAUGAGCCGAUGUCGGAUUAGCUAGUUGGCGGGGUAAAGGCCCACCAAGGCGACGAUCCGUAGCUGGUCUGAGAGGAUGAUCAGCCACACUGGAAAUGAGACACGGUCCAGACUCCUACGGGAGGCAGCAGUGGGGAAUAUUGGACAAUGGGCGCAAGCCUGAUCCAGCCAUACCGCGUGAGUGAAGAAGGCCUUCGGGUUGUAAAGCCCUUUUGUGGGGAAAGAAAAGCAGCAGGUUAAUACCCCGCUGUUCUGACGGUACCCAAAGAAUAAGCACCGGCUAACUUCGUG
rnacentral:rRNA from 1 species